GCGAGCCCCGCGGUGACGACCCCGCCCGGGGAGUUGAUGUAGAGGUGGACCGGCUUGAGCGGGUUCUCCGACUCGAGGAAGAGCAGCUGCGCGACGACGAGCGAGGCGGUCUCGUCGGCGAUUGGCCCGUGGAUGAGCACGAUCCGCUCCUUGAGCAGGCGCGAGAAGAUGUCGUACGCCCUCUCCCCGCGCGAGGUGGUCUCGAUGACCAUCGGCACCAGGCCGAACGCCUGGUGCGACGAGUACCCCGCCGGCUGCUGC
rnacentral:misc_RNA from 1 species